CUUCAAAAAAGGAUUUUGAAUAUCAACAAUGAUGGUUAAGGAACCCUAUGAGAGUUUGGAGCAAUAGCCACUCACCUUCUGUUUUGAUUUGCAGUCACGGAGAUUUGCUCUUUUAUUGAGGAUUUUGAUGUCGAUCCUCUGAUUCUUUUGCUUUGUUUACCUUAACUUUGCCUGGGCUGAUCCUUUGGGUCGGCCGCCCACCGGGUUGCCCUAAUUUUUGCCAAAGUCAAUCUUGUUUUUAAGUUCUUGACCU
rnacentral:lncRNA from 1 species